CGUGUAGGCGGUUGAUUAAGUCGAAUGUGAAAGCCCCAAGCUUAACUUGGGAACGGCAUCCGAAACUGGUCGACUUGAGUAUCGGAGGGGAGAGCGGAAUUCCUAGUGGAGCGGUGAAAUGCGUAGAGAUUAGGAAGAACACCAGUGGCGAAGGCGGCUCUCUGGACGAUUACUGACGCUGAGACGCGAAAGUGUGGGUAGCAAACAGGAUUAGAUACCCUGGUAGUCC
rnacentral:rRNA from 1 species